UUAUUAUCUAUUUACUGUGAACUGUAUUAUUAUUUGACAUUUGAGGGAUGUUCCAAUGUUAUAAGGAUAGACAUUGGAAAUGUUAACCGAGUCAUAAUCAGGUUUAGGCCUGGUAUCCUAUUAUUAUUUACCAAAUGAAUUCAGAAUUAAUAUUGUAACAUAGACCUAAAAAAUCUAUAAAACAACUUUUAACAACGGAUCUCUUGGUUCUCGCAUCGAUGAAGAACGUAGCAAAGUGCGAUAACUAGUGUGAAUUGCAUAUUCAGUGAAUCAUCGAGUCUUUGAACGCAACUUGCGCUCAUUGGUAUUCCAAUGAGCACGCCUGUUUCAGUAUCAAAACAAACCCUCUAUCCAACUUUUGUUGUAUAGGAUUAUUGGGGGCCUCUCGAUCUGUAUAGAUCUUGAAAUCCCUGAAAUUUACUAAGGCCUGAACUUGUUUAAAUGCCUGAACUUUUUUUUAAUAUAAAGGAAAGCUCUUGUAAUUGACUUUGAUGGGGCCUCCCAAAUAAAUCUUUUUUAAAUUUGAUCUGAAAUCAGGCGGGAUUACCCGCUGAACUUAAGCAUAUC
rnacentral:rRNA from 1 species